rnacentral:misc_RNA from 1 species
GGAGUAUUUAUUUAUCCUUUAAAAUUCAGAAAGCAAGAAAAACUUCAAGCCAAAAAUAAGCAUUCUCAAGGCACUCCACCGCUCCACAACCAACUUCAUUAAUUACCUCACAAUCUAACAAGAGCUACCACAUCUUGGCAUUACAAACUAUUCAUUCGUUAUUGUAAAUUAAACAUACAGAAACGGACAGCAAAGCUUCGUCCCGGUAAGCUUGGACAAUGAAGCAAACUGAUGCGAUUAGCUCAAAAUCAGAAUGCAGGGCCGACCUGCUCAUCUAUGCAUAUGUGCCAACUUUAUUUUUUUGCAGGAAAACAAAACGCAAAAGGUAUAAUGUGCCUUUUCCCUUCAUUUAUAAAAUAAAACUGACUUCAUAUAUACACAGAGUGAAGCUUGUAGGUAUUUGAAAAAAGGCAAAAAUGAG